AACCUACUCCCUCCGUUCCAAAAUAGAUGACCCAACUUUGUAUACAAAGUUGGGUUAUUUUUUGUAUACAAAGUUGGGUCAUUUAUUUUGGAACGGAGGGAGUACCUU
rnacentral:pre_miRNA from 1 species